GAGGGUGUAGCUCAGUGGUAGAGUGUUUGCUUAGCAUGCUUGAGGCCCUAGGUUCAAUCCCCAGUACCUCCA
rfam:Camelus ferus unplaced genomic scaffold scaffold226, whole genome shotgun sequence.